rnacentral:misc_RNA from 1 species
CCCAAAAGGNUGCCACAAUUUCCCUUCCAUYCCCCCCCACCMAAAAAAAAAAAUAAAAACAAAUCACACAAAAAUAAAAAUCUGAUAACAAAUAUUUGAUGUCUGAAGUAAAAUCUUAAAUAAGCAAAACUUUCAACAACGGAUCUCUUGGUUCCGGCAUCGAUGAAGAACGCAGCGAAAUGCGAUAAGUAAUGUGGACCGCAGUACUCAGCGACUCAUCGAAUCUUUGAACGCACAUUGCGCCACUUGGUAUCACCAAAGGGCACACCUGUUCGAGCGUCAUCAUACAUCGCAUCAAGUCAAGGGCCCGGCUUGCAAAUGGGCUUUGUCUGCUUUAUGUAGAAGUCUAAAAGUCAGUGGCGGUUAAGUUAGGCAUUCCAGCGUAGUGGGAUUAAAUUAGCUGUUGAAAUGUCUUUUACUUGACUGCCAAAAUGUCCAGGAUUUCUGCUGGCGGAGACCCCCAGGGUUUCUGUUGGCGGGAGACCCUUGGAUUUUAUCAACUAUGACCUCGGAUCAGG